CAGUCGCCGCGGUAAUACGUAGGGUGCAAGCGUUAAUCGGAAUUACUGGGCGUAAAGCGUGCGCAGGCGGUUUGUUAAGACAGAUGUGAAAUCCCCGGGCUCAACCUGGGAACUGCAUUUGUGACUGGCAGGCUAGAGUAUGGCAGAGGGGGGUGGAAUUCCGCGUGUAGCAGUGAAAUGCGUAGAUGUGCGGAGGAACACCGAUGGCGAAGGCAGCCCCCUGGGCCAAUACUGACGCUCACGCACGAAAGCGUGGGGAGCAAACAGGAUUAGAUACCCCGGUAGUCCCUGUCUCUUAUAC
rnacentral:rRNA from 1 species